UUGCAGCUGACCAAUCAGUGUUUGCCUGCCAAUGUUGGCUGGUGUGUGACGUCAUUGAGCGUGAUCUACGGAGUGGAGAGCAGAGAGACAGGGGAACGAAGUCGGAAAAAUUAGUAAAAACAAGAGUAAAACCAACGUUUUAGUCGCCUGGUUUGUUAGUUGUUAGGUUUGUUAGUGAAAAACUAAUUACCGAGGAAAGCAUCGAGGAAGUCUGGAUGCUUAGACAAGCUUUGGAGCUGUUUUUGUCGAACAAGACUGAGGCUGGACGCCUAACACACCUGCGGAGCGAAGGUUUACUUGUUGAUCUGCUGCUGAGGAAAACACCAGCUCUCACCUCACAGACCAAACAGGACUGAGAGUUGAAGCAGGAAACAGCUGAGCUGACAGAAGAGACAGACGUGAAGAUUUCCACAAGCUCCAGGACUUCAGCUGCUGUGACGACGACGACUCCUCCUGCAGAGACACAACAUGUUAGUAACAGGACAUUAUUACUAUUUAAUUUAAGUUACUGAUAAUGACUAUGUACAACCAAUAUUUAGUUUCUAAUUAUUAUGAUCUACAUUACUAUCAAUACUACUGAUUACUACUAUUACAUACCAGUGACGAAUUAUUGCCCUUAAUUAUUACUGUUUAAUUAACAGUUAAUUAACAGUUACCAAAAAAUAGAUUAUUAUUAUUAUAGUGAUGACUAAUAACAUUAGCAAGUAACUACAGCACUACUACUUUUGUUUCCCUGUGUGAGAGCUAAUUAAAUUGCUUAUUUUCUAAUUCUGUUAAUGUUUUAAUAAACUGUUUUUUUUUUUUUAAAAAAAGGUCC